rnacentral:lncRNA from 1 species
GUGCCAAGAAGAGUUGCUUGCUUAGCUUUAAGAACAACCCGUUGUUCCUCUAGCUUCUGGAUUUCAGAAGUCACUACUCUGAUCCUUUCUUUUGUUAGUAAACCCUCAUCCAUCAACCUUUCAACCUGAGCAGAAGUACUUGAUUCUUUCUCCUGGAAACAUCUUACACGAUUAGCUUGUCUUUCAGCUCUUUUAUGUUAAUCCCGGAGAGCCCUCAGGUUCUCGAAGAAAGAGAGAAAUGAAUCAUGUUGAGUUUUGGAUAGCUGACAGGCUUUGAACAGCUCUAUUGUAACCUCAUUUAUAUCAUGAAGAGCCUUGAGGCUGAACGAAGCUGAGAAGUCAUUCCUAGCCCAUUCUUGGAAGGCUCGUUGUUGCUCUCGAAGACUGGAAGAUACGGCAGAAUGCUUUGAAGAUUUCAGCCUUGUCUCAAGUUGCUCGAAUUCUUCAAAAAGGCUGGGCAACUUAGCAGUUUUUGAAAAUAAAGAAGAAUGAGGAGGAUUUCGCACUCCAGUCUCCUCUAAUGGAGUAGUACCCACUGAUGGGGCAAUUUCUGUCUUCCCGGUCUUCUCAAUUCCAGGAUGGGAAAUCCCGGCACUUCCAAAAGUUAAAUGAGGCUGGGGGAGCUUUGACUUACAAACCAAGCGAGGAGGAGAAACUUCUUUCAGAACUUGCUGCAAAGACCAAAGAAGACCAGAUUAAGACAAAAAUAUAGUUUGAAGCAAAGGGAAGCUUUGGGAAGAAGAAAAAUACCUGACUGAGCCCUAGGGCUUCACAAGGAAGAGUACCAAUUCUUGGUUGAGGGGAAGACUCUCUACCACUGACAGGGGAAGAAAAAGCUGCGCCUGAACCUUCGCCAAUGCCCUAG